CAGUAUCUUGUCGGAAACAUGUU
rnacentral:siRNA from 1 species